rnacentral:tRNA from 1 species
GCCUGGGUGGCUCAGUCGGUUGAGCGUCUGACUUUGGUUCAGGUCAUGACCUCACAGUUCGUGAGUUCGAGCCCCGCGUCGGGCU